GAGCACGUAGGUGGGUUUGUAAGUCAGAUGUGAAAGCCUUCUGUUCAACGGAAGAAUUGCAUCUGAAACUGCAAGUCUUGAGUGUAGGAGGGGAGAAUGGGACUUCUGGUGGAGCGGUGAAAUGCGUAGAUAUCAGAAGGAACGCCGGCGGCGAAAGCGAUUCUCUGGCCUAUUACUGACACUCAGUGUGCGAAAGCUAGGGGAGCAAACGGGAUUAGAUACCCCGGUAGUCCUAGCCGUAAACGAUGGGCACUAAGUAGAGGGGAUUACCGAUGUUCUCUCUGCCGUAGCUAACGCAUUAAGUGCCCCGCCUGGGGAGUACGGCCGCAAGGCUAAAACUCAAAAGAAUUGACGGGGGCUCGCACAAGCGGUGGAGCAUGUGGCUUAAUUCGAUGCAACGCGAAAAACCUUACCGGGGCUUGACAUGGUAGAAGUAGGAACCCGAAAGGGUAACGAACGGUAUCCAGUCCGUAGCUAUCACAGGUGUUGCAUGGCUGUCGUCAGCUCGUGUCGUGAGACGUUGGGUUAAGUCCCCUAACGAGCGAAACCCUUGUUUUUAGUUACCAGCGGGUUAUGCCGGGUACUCUAGAAAGACUGCCGUCGUCAAGACGGAGGAAGGUGGGGAUGACGUCAAGUCAUCAUGGCCCUUAUGCCCCGGGCUGCACACGUGCUACAAUGGUCGGUACAAACGGAUGCGAAGCCGAGAGGUGAAGCGAAUCC
rnacentral:rRNA from 1 species